rnacentral:rRNA from 1 species
CCUACGGGAGGCAGCAGUGGGGAAUAUUGCACAAUGGGGGAAACCCUGAUGCAGCGACGCCGCGUGAGUGAAGAAGUAUUUCGGUACGUAAAGCUCUAUCAUCAGGGAAGAAAAUAUGGUACCUGAACUAAUAGCCCCCGGCAAAUACCUUACCGGAACCCGGGGGCUACCUAGGGGGCAAGCGUUACUCGGAUUUACUGGGGGGAAAGGGAGCGUUGAAGGCAGCGCAAGUCUGGAGUGAAAGCCCAUGGCUUAACCAUGGAACUGCUUUGGAAACUGUGCAGCCAGAGUGCAGGAGAGGUAAGCGGAAUUCCUAGUGUAGCGGUGAAAUGCGUAGAUAUUAGGAGGAACACCAGUGGCGAAGGCGGCUUACUGGACUGUAACUGACGUUGAGGCUCGAAAGCGUGGGGAGCAAACAGGAUUAGAUACCCCAGUAGUC